GUUGCCAUCAUUCAGUUGGGCACUCUAGCGAGACUGCCGGUAAUAAACCGGAGGAAGGUGGGGAUGACGUCAAAUCAUCAUGCCCCUUAUGACCUUGGGCUACACACGUGCUACAAUGGUUGGUACAACGAGUUGCGAGUCGGUGACGGCGAGCUAAUCUCUUAAAAGCCAAUCUCAGUUCGGAUUGUAGGCUGCAACUCGCCUACAUGAAGUCGGAAUCGCUAGUAAUCGCGGAUCAGCACGCCGCGGUGAAUACGUUCCCGGGCCUU
rnacentral:rRNA from 1 species